ACUGACCCGACCUGUCUUGUUCAUUACAUACACCCUUAAACAUUGGGUUUUGUUUCCUAAUCUCAUCUGCCGCUUGAGCUCCAGCUAAAAAUGUUUCCAACUCCACUGAUGAACCUGAGCUUCCUUUUGAAGAUGUUGUGGAUCAUUAAUUCUUUCCCAUGGCCAUAUAGUAAACUACAUCGUAUAUCAGCUAUUAGAAGUAAGUAGUCCGCUCCCUUUUCCAUUAGUCCAGCCACCAUUUUCAACUCUUUAGUAAUCGAUUUCUGUUUUCCCAGCUGUGUCCUCCGAUUGUUGGGAAUAUCCAAAGUUUUUUGGUGCUUGAUUGAAGGGUUUUGACCCCUAAAAGUGCAUAAACAUAUAGGUAAACCUCUUUCUUUUCCUUUUCUUUUCAUCCAUGUUCUUCGUUUCAAGAUAUGAGUAUUAUACUGGUUUCUAUAGCCCUUGAUGAGAGAGAAAUAAUAAGAAGAUUGGGUCCAUAUAUUGUUGUUCUAUGUGUAUCUCUUCAGGUGUUUCUUUUGAAGAUCUGAUAAAACCCUCUCUUUACAAUGCGAGUCCUUUUUGCUGGCUGUAAUAGAAUAGGCUACAUGAAUUUAUACAUCUUUUGUGACUGUAUUUUUGUAUAUAUUGUUAUGCUCACUUAAUGUUUUAGCCUGAACAUCCCUCUUACCCAUUUAAUGAUGAAAUCCUUAUGUAAGGACACUGUAGUUUGUCACUGUUUAAUAUUCCUUUUCCUUUGGCCUGUAGUUGUUGAAAUCUUGUAAAUAUGAACUCUCCUUUAUCAAUCGCAUGAUUUGCUAGAUGUUUUGCUAAUUGGUUACCCUCCCUCAGUAUAUGUUGUGCCUAUAUGUGCUUAUUGCUUAUUAAUCUGCAUAUCUUCUCAACAUAAUUUUUUAGAUACCAUAGACAUGCCCACUCUUUAUUGAUUAUCUUCUGCACAAGUAGUAAGUCUGUUUGAAAUAUUAUUCUAUCAUAACUUGAAAUACUGCAAUGCCUUACUUCUUGUAACAUGGCCAAUAUUUCUUCCUCCACAUUAGGUGUAUCCUCAAUUUUAGCUCAUUGGGCAUAGAUUAGAUCUCCCUUAGUAUCUCUUAGGCAAAAUACAUAACGAAUCCCCCCUGGGUUGCCUCUAGAUGCUCCAUCAGUGUAGUAUUUUAACCAACCCUCUUCAGGAAAUCUCUAUAGUAUUAUAGUGAUCUUCAUUCUGGUCUUACCCUACUCUAAUGCUGUCACAAUAUCUAGCCAGGAUAUAGGAUAUUUUUGAGCCGGUCUUCUCACUUUUAUUAACAUACCAAUGCUCCAAUUAACAUUGUAUAUUAAUUUGUGCAUUGAAAUAACUCUUCCUUCAUGCUUGAUAGAAUUCCUUCUUUUCCACAAUUCCCAUAUAAUCAUACUUGGGACUGCCAUAUAAUAUGCUUGUGUUCCUUUUUUACUCUGCACAUUUUACCAAGGAAGUAUGGCUUUCCUGACACUCACUCCAUUUACUGCAAUACCUUUAAAACAAGCAAAAUUGGACCCAGUUCUAUUAGUAUGUGAAGACUUUAGAAACAUAUGUGCAAUAGUUUCUUGCUCUAGAUUAGUGCAACAGCAAUACCUAGUAGGACCCUACAUACCCUAUCUCCUUAAAUAUUCAUCUAAUGGAACCUUCCCUUUCCAAAUCCUCCACAUUAGAAAUGCCAUUUUGAAAGGUAAUCAUUUUAUCCAAAUGCAGUUAAAUACAUUGCUCUUUGAUUCUCUCUGUCUGACAUACUGCCACGCUAACCUUACAGUAAAUUCCCCUAUAGAUUCCAACAUACAAAUAGGUUUAUCAGCUCCCUUACUUCUUCUUGAAGACUGUAUUUUACUAAUGAUCAUAUCAUUGACAUCAUGACUCACCACCUAAUCUAUCAAGUGUUCAUUCCAGCCAAUAUCACUCACUAAGUAUUUUACUUUCUGAAAUCUGGGAUCCCAUUCUCUACUCUGAUCAGAUAUGGCAUUAAAUUUCCAUAUCUAAUCCAAUUAUCAAACCAUAAACUAGUUUCUUCAUCUUUGAUCUUCCAUAAAAUCUGAUAUUCUAUCAAGUUCCUUGCCUGAAGCAUUUUCUCACAAACCUAUGAUCCAUUUCCUGUCUUCCACAUCACUUCAUUAGGAUGAUUAUUCCUGCAAUACCUGUUAUUCAUAUAAGUGCUCCAUAUCAAACAGGGCCACUGACGCAUCUUGAAUCCUAAUCCACCUUCAUCUUUAGGUAGGCAUAAAGAAUUCCAUCUAACCCAAUGCCUACUUUUUCCAACUAUAUGAAUACUCCAAAAAAAUUGAGCAAACAUCUUUUGAAUAGCAUUCAUAAAAAUUAAAGUGGCAUUCAUUACUGAUAAACAAUGAAUAGCAAUGCUCUGUAAAACAUGCUUAAUUAGAGUUGCUCUCCCACCAUAAGAAAGAAUCUUACCUUUCCACCCUUGGAGCUUAGAACUGAAUUUAUUCAUCAAAGUUUAUUCUUCCUUAUUUAAAAAAUAGGAAAACCCAGAUAAAUGAAUGGGAAUUCCUUCCUGAGAAUACCUAGUGCCAACUCUUCUAUGAGAAUUGUACCUUGAGACACUCCCUUGUGAAAAUAGAUUGCACUUUCUUCUUUAUUCAAUUUUUGCCCUGAUACCCUUUCAUAUCUUUCCAAUGUGCUUGCCACCAUCUUCAUAGUACCCAGUUCAUCCUUGGAUAAGAUGAUUAUAUUAUCUACAAAAGUGAAAUAAUUGAACUUAGGACUCCUCCUUAGUAAUCCAAACAUCCUGGAUUUCUUUUUUUGAAUUAAGGAUUUCAAAGAUGUGGACAUAAGUUCAGCUUCUAUAAUAAAAAGAGUUGGAGACAGUUGAUCACCCUUCUUCAAUCCCCUUUGAGACUUAAAAAAUCCCUUUGGCUUGGCAUUUAUCAAAAUAGAGUACCAAUUAUUAUUCAGUAAUUUGUAAAUCAUAUCAAUGAUUGUUUAUGAAAAUCCUGUCCUUCUUAAAACCUUAGUAAGAUACAGCCAGUCCACCCUGUCAUAAGCCUUCAUCUUUAGGUAGGCAUAAAGAAUUCCAUCUAACCCAAUGCCUACUUUUUCCAACUAUAUGAAUACUUCAAAAAAAUUGAGCAAACAUCUUUUGAAUAACAUUCAUAAAAUUUAAAGUGGCAUUCAUUACUGAUAAACGAUGAAUAGCAAUGCUCUGUAAUACAUGCUUAAUUAAAGCUGCUCUCCCACCAUAAGAAAGAAUCUUACCUUUCCACCCUUGGAGCUUAGAACUGAAUUUAUUCAUCAAAUAUUUGUAACAAAGUUUAUUCUUCCUUAUUAAAAUAGGAAAACCCAGAUAAAUGAAUGGGAAUUCCUUCCUGAGAAUACCUAGUGCCAACUCUUCUAUGAGAAUUGUACCUUGAGACAUUCCCUUGUGAAAAUAGAUUGCACUUUCUUCUUUAUUCAAUUUUUGCCCUGAUACCCUUUCAUAUCUUUCCAAUGUGCUUGCCACCAUCUUCAUAGUACCCAGUUCAUCCUUGGAUAAGAUGAUUAUAUUAUCUACAAAAGUGAAAUAAUUGAACUUGGGACUCCUCCUUAGUAAUCCAAACAUCCUGGAUUUCUUUUUUUGAAUUAAGGAUUUCAAAGAUGUGGACAUAAGUUCAGCUUCUAUAAUAAAAAGAGUUGGAGACAGUUGAUCACCCUUCUUCAAUCCCCUUUGAGACUUAAAAAAUCUCUUUGGCUUGCCAUUUAUCAAAAUAGAGUACCAAUUAUUAUUCAGUAAUUUGUAAAUCAUAUCAAUGAUUGUUUAUGAAAAUCCUGUCCUUCUUAAAACCUUAGUAAGAUACAGCCAGUCCACCCUGUCAUAAGCCUUCAUCAUAUUAUGUUUAAUCACCAUAUUUGGAACCUUGCCCCUUUUCCUGAUUUCAGAAAUAACUUUUUGAACAAUAAAAAUGUUUUCAGCAAUACUUCUCCCCUGAACAAAUCCAACUUGCUCUUCAAAUAUAAUGUCAGGUAAAUACUUCUUUAAUCUCUCAUGAAUAAUUUUAGAAAAAACUUUAUUUACAAAGUAUCUUAAGGAAAUUGGUCUGAAAUCUAAAAUGUCUUAGUUACUAAUUUCUUAGUUCUCCUUCUGCACUUAUUCAUCUGUUGUUAAAUGAACUUUUUCUACUUGUUUAUCAUUCUUAUUUUUGUGAGAUUCUUCCAUUGUGGCUAUUAUCUCUUAUUUUUCUGGGUUAUUUUCAUUUAGUUUAUUACUACCAAAGCUACUAGUGACCCAAUCCUUCGUACUCUGCUUGUCUUGCUCUCUUAUUUUCUCCUUUUUCAAGAACUUCCUCCUGCUGAUUUCCAUUAAUAAUAUCCACUCCCGUGUCUUCAUUUGUUAAUGAUUCAAAAGAAUUAGACAUGUGGACAUCUAUUUUGUCCUCUUUCUCUACCUCUCCCAAUAUAUGUCCAUACUUGUCUUUUUUGUAUUUAUUUCUUCUAGUGAGCCAUUUCUUCUUAUAUCUAUGUAUCCUCCUUCAAUUUUUUAAUACCUUACCUUUUUCUUUAUCUAUAUCUUUUUCCCUUUGUUGACUUGCCUUUUAUAUUCCUCCAUUUGCUCCAGAUGUAAUUUAGGAUGUUAUUCCAAUAAGUAUCUUUAUCAUGACCCAGUAAACAACACUCCUUAUAAUACUUGGGCAUAUAUUCAUAUUGAAUUUGUAACCAUUUAAACCUUAUUUCUCCUAUUGCAUCAUCUUCUUGAUUUAUUCUAGCUCGUUAAGGUAAUUUAGCUACCAAAUCUACCUCUACAUUUACUUUGGCACAACUAGGUCUUGUCUUAUUCUUUGUUUCCAUAUCAACUGUUAGAGGUUUUCCAACAGUUGAAGCUAUUGAAAAAAUUGCCUCUUUAGCAAAAAAAAUUAGAAGGUAAAUCGGGGAUGGAGAUCCAUGCAACCACUAUAGUAGUCUCCACAUCCGGCUCAAACCAAGGAUCCUAUUUUAAUAUUUGCAUCUACCAAAUUCUAUCCUUGGCUUUGAGAUAAUAACAACCAUUGAUAAAAGAUUUACAUCAUCUUCCAUCACCUCCAGUCUAAUAAUAAUAUGUCUAGAAUCAAGAACCCUAGUAGUACAAUCUUCCUUGAUUCCACAUUAAACUAGUAAUAUUUUUCUCAGUUCAUUAAUACUCGGUUUACUAAAAGAAAAUUUACCUAUUAUUGUAAAUUGUAAAUUUUUUUAUAGUAUUAAAUUCUAAAUCUAUGAUGAUUUCUAAGUGAUACUUGGUUCACCUUCAAUCAAUACAAUUGGUUUUAGAGGCACUUUAAUCUCAUUUGUAUUAGCAUUCUUGGGAUUCAACAUAUUAGCGUAAGAUUGUUUGGUUGGUGGGUCAGUCUUAGUCAUAGUUUUAAUGUUUUUCGAUGGUCUAACCCACUGGAUGUAGUGUCCAUAUCCGUCUAUUACAAUAGGGUUUAGGGUUUUCAAGGGAGAGAGUUUUCCUUGGCUAAUUUUCAAAACUUUAGGCUGAGAUUGUUUAAAUAUGUGGUUGCAUGGGAAUGGUCAAUUGGUACUUGGUUUUUGUUUUGGAAACUAUAUGCCCUCAACAUGUUCAGUAACAUACCUAUGAGAAUGGUUAUGUCACAUUGUAUGACUUUUAUUGAAACUUUGCAUUGCAUAAUAUGGUGAUAGAAGCUAAACUGGUUUGGUUAGUUGUAAAGGGAUAGAAAUAGGGGUACAAUGGAAUCCCUAAAUUGAUUGUUUUGGAGUGGAACUUGGAAAUAAACUAAACCCACUUACAUAAUUGAUUUUGGUUUAUGCAUUCGUACUUAGUUUGGUUUGUUCCUUGAAAUGACUACAUGUCAUUAAUGGUUAAUUGGUUAAGGAUUGUUUUAAAAACAUUAUGGGGUACACGAGAAUCCCCCAAGUAGUCUUACAAUGAAAACCUUAUGGGGUAUGUGGGAAUCCCCUAAGUGAUUUUAAUAAAGGAGUCAACGAGGUACAUGGGAAUUCACUAAGUGAUUGGCUAAGGACAUUGUUUAUAAGAUAUAGUUGGUAUGACGAUACCACUUAUUAAUGCCUUAAUAAUUGACUAUUGGAAUUGGUGGUUUAGUUGUAUGUAAUUGAUUUAAUUAGGCAAUAAUGGCGAGUUUGAUAGCUACCUGUGGAGGUGUGAGUUUGAAAGAAUGACUCUAGAAAAUCAUAUUUGUUGAUAUGAGGAUUGGUCUUGAUGACCGCAUACUUGUGGGGUCCAAGGGAAUCCCUAAAGGAUAUACAUGUACAUAUGUAUCAUAGAGGGCAAAGGAUACAAGGGAAUCCUCAACCAUCUAUGCUAUCUCUAAUUCAUGUAGGUAUACAUAUUGGGGCCCAUCUAGGGGAUAAGACCAGACCCAUAUAGCAUGUGGGUGGACCAUGACGGUAAAUCUACACAAACCAGGUUAAAGUUUUAAAUGCAUGUUAAACCUAGUUUCCCUUCCCUACAUGAUAUGUAUAUAUAUAGAUGUAUGUAUGUUAUUACAUAUGGUUAUUUACUUUGACUUUGAAUAAUAAUAUUAUUUUAUCCUUACUCCUAAGUACAUGCUAGUUUACACCCGUUAACCCAUGUUCGACCAUUAUAUCCCCACGCGAUGGAGAAACUAACCAUACUAUCAUUCCUCUAGUAUAGUAACUUAGAUUCGGGGACAGCGUGAGUCAGACUGAAGUAGUGAGCUUUAAUUCUUUGAAAGUCCCAUUUCAUGGUAUGGUUUAUCUUAUGUCCUUACUAUUCCUUUAAUAAUGGAUUUUGGGUAUGGUCGGGGGCAUGUUCCGACUGGAUAUUCCCUGGUAUGGUGUAGAGGCUUUGUAUGGAUAAAUAUGGACUUAGGUAUAGAAUGGCUAUAGUUUUGGUUAUUUUUGUAUUUGGUUUUCUUGUGGUUCAAUUGACUUGUUUGGGUUGGUCUCAGUCAUAGAACUACCCCAAAGUCAUUACAAUUUAAAUUACUCUAUCUUGUUAUAUGGUUGAAAUUUAUCCUACUUAGGGAAUGUGUUGGUUGGUUGGGUUGGGUAACGAGGGUAGUAUCCGAUCUUUGUUGGACUUGAGAUGUCUAUUAUAACAAGGCACUGGUUUGGGUUAUGUCACGUGAUUAUGAUGUUGUGAUUAUUACGGACAUAUUAUUUGGCCAUAGACUAUGAUAUGAUAGUGAUUCGAUAUCUACGGAGUGUUUAUCCUUGUAAAGGAUGUAAUUUUAGUUUAUGAAUAUGCAUAUAUAUUUUUAUAUACACAUCUCUCGGAUAUGGGAUGGAGGAAAUUGUGGUAUGUUUCUUAGGACUUUAUUAAUUUGAAAACUGGUGAUGGCAUGCAUAGAUAUGGUAAAUUCAUGAUUAUUAUAUUGGUAAUUAAUAUGAUUAUAGCUGAAAUACAAUCUUAUGACAUUCUUCAUACUUAUGGGUUAAGAUAUGCGAUAGCUAGUUAUCUUUUAGGUGACUAUAACACUUGAUGGUUAGGAAUAUACAUUCUAGUUAAUGAACCUUGGUAGCUUGAGAUAAUUGAUACGUGGCUAAUAAUGAUGUUGAGGUUAGCAUAGGUGAAUAUUAGUAAUAUUAAUGACUAAGUUUAUGUUGUUGAUUAGUUGUUAAAAAAGGAGUUGUGUAUUACUGAGGCUAGAUAAUAAGAGAUAUUGGUGACAAGAGAUGAUUAGUUAAUAAUGAUGAAUAGUUGAUAAACAAGGAUUAGUUGGUAAAUGAUGGUUAAUUAAUGAAUGGUGUUAGUUAAAUAAAGUUUGUUAGAUGAUAAAUAAUAAUGUAUUGACUAGUAAUGAUUAACAGAUAUAGGAUAAUUAACUAAUAAAAUUGUGUAGUGGUUAAAUAGAGAUUAUAGUCUAGAGAUGAAUCUUGACUAGCUAUUGGGUAUUACCAUUAUUAUAUAAAUAUUAGUAGCUAUCCAAUGAAUAAGGAUUAUAUGAAGGAUAUUGGGUAUUGGCGUCAUUAUAUAAACAUUAGUUGCUAUCCCAUGAAUAAGGAUUACGUGAAGGAAAAUGAUUAGGCAAAUAAUUAGAUAUCAUGUGAAGACUAGUGAAUUGCUAGUUUAAUGAUCAUAAGCGUUUGUUAGCUAAUAACGAAUAGUUUGAAAGUAUUGACAAGUUAGAUAUUUUAUGAUGAUAUGAUUAUGAUUAUGUGUAUAUUAAUAGUCUUGUAGAUUUACCCUCCCUUUGCCACAUCUUGAGCCCCUACACUUAUUAUAUGACAAUAAAUAUAUGUGUACUGAUGUUUUUUAUUAUAUUGAUACUUGGCAAUGCUGGAGAAUAUUGUGAUGAUGAUAUCGAUAACUGGCAAGGCCGAAGGAUAUUGUGAUGAUGAUAUUGAUACCCUCUUAGGCCAGAGGAUAUUGUGAUGAUAAUAUUAAUAACUAACAAGGCUAGAAGAUUUUGUGAUGAUGAUAUUUAUACCCGACAAGGCCAGAGGAUAUUAUGAUGUUGAUAUUGAUACCCAACAAGUUAAGAGGAUAUUUUGAUGAUUAUAUUAAUACCCAAAAAGGUCAGAGGAUAUUAAGAUGAUGAUAUUGAUAUUUGACAAAGCCAAAGGAUAUUGUGAUUAUAAUAUUGUUAUACGACAUGGCUGAAGGAUAUAUGUGCUGAUGUAUUUAUCCCUGGCAAGGCCAAAGGUUGAUUGUACUGAUGAUGAUUAUGAUGAUGAUAGUUAUGAUGGAGAUGGUUAUGAUGAUAAGAUUGUGAUAUUGAUUGCGUACUUUGCAUUCAUUCCAGUUUGCGCAAUGCCUAUUACUAGUAUGCACCUAUGUUUAUCAGCUGAUAUGGAACGGUUGCAUAUAUAUGAGUAAAAAUUAUGCCUUUUGUUGUUGUAUGUUGAUUUAACCACGUUUCUAGUUGUGGGGGUACGAAUAGGCUCAACUAGGUAUUUGGUUAUCCGGAGUAGUAGUCUAUUCAUACUGUUAUUAAUGUUUUUAUUAUCAUCAUUUUAAUUUUUAUUAUUGCUAUCUUAUGAUAGAUUUGUCAUUGAUCUUGCAUCGAGAUCUGAGGUAAGUGUAUAGCCUCUUCUAUCUUAUGAUAACAUUAUUGUGCAUGAUUAUUUCAUGUCUAGCCAUAUGGAUUAGAAACCUUGAGUAUGAUAGCAUCAAAUCUUGAUAGUAACAUAAUAAGAUCUUUAAAUAAUAACAUGAUGAUCUAGGUUAUGGUUGAGAUGACCUCAUGUUUAUAUAUAGCUAUAUGAAGAUAGGGUACUACAAUAUAUCCCUUCCUUUGUUUUUUAUAUUAUAAAGUAAGUUCUUCACCUUAUAUAUUGGUAUAUAUCUUUUUUUCCCUUUAUUCGUAUAUUGGCCUAGGAUAUAUAUAAUAGCAUUAACCUCUAUUGAUUGUGGUUGUAAUAUAAUAGUUCACCCUAACACUUUCUUAGUUUUAUUAUUUUAGACUCUUGGACUUGAGCAAGAUAGUUAAUCCUUAUUAUUCUCAUUGACUUGUUAAAUGAUUUCUGGACUCUUGUUUGUAGAUUCUAUUCUGUUUAUAUGUUGUCUAUAUCAACUAUAUUAUUGGGUCUCAGUUGGUUGUUUCCUACUGAGUAACAUUAGUUUGGUACACAUACUCCACUUAGGUAGCUUGUAGUUCAUAAUACGGGUUAUCGCUGUUGAUGUAUGCAUCGUGCGAAGCUGCCAUGGUCCAGAGACUUAGAGUGAACUCCUGACAUUUGGAUUAUUACUUAUCUCUCUCUUUUGUAUUAGGUUAAUCUUUACAUUAUAUUUAGAGAUAAAUUGUAUUAGUGUAGUUCUAUUGUUAUUUCACUUUUGUACCUUUGUGAUAUUACAAGCUCUUGUACUGAUACCACUAGGCAUUGAGAUACUAUUAUGUAUUGAUCUUUGUUUCAUUUAUUCCGCAUUAUGUUCCUUAUAUUAUUAACUAGUCAAUUACUAGUCGUUAAUGACUAUGGUUUGGCAUACCUACUGGUGGGUUAUGGUAGGCGCCUUCAUGACUUUAGAAAUUAGGUCAUAACAAAUUGGUAUUAGAGCCUAGGUUUAUCAUGUGCAUUAGUACAAGAGCUAAUUGUUAGUAGAGUUGUACAGAUUGGUGUGGAGACAUUCGUAACGUAUCUACAGGAGGCUACAAGAAUAAUUUACGAAAUUCACUUCUUUACUCCUUAUUGUGUCUCCGCAUUCUUAUAAACCUUGAACACAUUCUUAGACCCUAUUCUAUCCUCAAAAGAUGAUACGACCUUGUCAUUAUAUACGGAUGAGACUUUAACACAUGUUUCUAGAGUUUCAAUAUAGCAUCAGACUAGAGAGACAAAGAUAGGUAUCAAAGAUCUUCAGCAACAACCAAAAAAGGGAUUUGGGAAAGCUUAGGCUGUUGUUGAGUUUGUGACUACUUCAGUCUUUAAGGUUCAACAUUGGGAAUUCAAGUCAUGUUGUAGAUCCUUCUCUACCAUGGAUGGUGUUUGAUCAAUCAAGUAAUUCUUAAACCAAGGUUGAUUCUAUUAGUGUUCACAAGGGUUCUCUACCAUUUUUUAGUACGAUAUUGGAUUUGUCGUAUAGUCUAGGCAUUUUCCUAUGCUACAUCCUUCUGAGUCAAAUAUUAGGGCAUGGAUAUUUAAGAGGGUUAGUAUUGUUACACCAUUUGGCAUUAGAGCACUUGAUAACAGUUGAGUCUUCCUUCUAUUAGGAUAUUGAUUAUGAAGGUCCAUAGAGAGCAUAAGUAUUGAAAAUUAUGGAAAUGGCCGCAAGAGGCAUGCCAUCAGUAUAGUACUAUUUGUUUUUUAUUCAAGAGUAAGUAUUCUUCCAAUAGAGUUCAACUUUACCGAUAGCCUAUCAGCUCUACGCAAAUAGUAUUUCAUACUAUGAGAAGUUCUCAGAUUAGUUGUGAUGAUCAUAGUGGGCAGAGUCCCCAUUAGACUUAUUGAGUAUGGUAUGGUUCUUCAAGCCAUGGUGACCAUUUUGGAUUAUGAGGAGCAGUAUAUUAAAGUAUUCUAGGAUCUUAGUUUGGUUGUUGUGUGAUAAGUCCCUGGUUCAUAGAAUUCCCUAGGGAUGAGAUAGAUGAUCUUUUAGAGUUAACAUAUAUUUCCCUAUCAGGCCAGAGUUUUUGAGGCGAGAUAUGCUAGUGGAAGCAUGGACAUAAUCCAAGAGAUUUCUCUCAGCAUCAAUUGGCCAGCCAUUUGUGCUCAGUUUGUGUCUCUCUAUUUAGUGCUUCAAAAGUUUGCUUAGACUAUAGAGAGACCGGCUACUAGUCUAAAAAGUGUCUCCAACAUAGGAUUUCUAGUCAUUCAGCUCAUUCAGAUCAGCCUCAUAAUAUUGUGGCAUAUUCAGUUAGAGGUAGUAUGUAUGGCACCUCAGUUGAGAUUCAGUCGUUCGAUUUGAGUUGGACCCAUUCAGAUUUAUGUUUCCUAUUCUCAUUAGGUAUGUAAUUGCAGAUGUCACCACGAUAGUGUACUUUUGUUUCCCACAUUUAUCUCUUAUUAUGUGUAUUGGGGUUUUCAUACCUAUUGAUGAUUAGAUGCAUUGAUGAAUUAGAUGCAUUGAUGAAUUAGAUUGGUCAUUAUAGGCCUUAUUGUUAAAUUUAUGAUUAUGUUACUACUUUGUGGUUUAUUUAUUUAAGUAGCGGAUGGAGUAGAUCUAUAUGGAUAUUUUCCCCUAUGGGUGUAGUUUUUGGGUUUGAGUCCUAUUUAUCUCAGUACAUUAACCCUAUUGUGACCCUUGAUUGGUACAUGAUAUUGAUGUUCAUUUUGGUACCGCCUGUUCAGUAUCUUGAUUUUGAUAUUGUUAUUGCUAUUUCUACCACCAUAUGAGGCUAUUGAUAUUUUUUGAUAUUAUUUCUUAGUGUAAUUCAUUCUUACUAGUUACUUGUAUAAACUAGUAUUAUCUAGCCAGACUUCUCUUUUCUUGUAAUAUUAUUUGGUGGCCUGAGUAGAUAUAGCCCGAUGUGAUAAUUUUUUCCCCUAGCACGGCGAGAUUGAUCGUGUUCCCUCUUGGUUAGCUGUAUUUGAUUAAUCAAGGGAUGAUUAUAGUAUCGCAGGUAAGUUGAACUUCUGUGGCUCUUUGUGGUUUUUCAGUCGAUAAUUUAGUUACAUUACCCAUUAUCGAGCUCAAGAUUUUUAGACGUGCCUCCUAGGUUGUGAAGGCUUUUGCUUCGGCUAUCCUUUUUUAUAUAACCCAUUUGUUAAAAGGACCAACUUGAGGUCCGUUCUUCAUUGUGACUAGUCCAUUAUCCGAAAAUAAUUUUGAUAUUAAUAUUAAGAUGUCAUGGAUUCAUCUCUUAGAUUUGUUAGGUUGGUUCACUUGUGAUGGGUCGCCCUUAUUGUUAGUAUGGAGAUUGGAUGCUCAUUCCUUUCGAUAUGGUUUUGCCUUAAAUAGAUUUAGAGAAGUAGAGGUAGGUGGUCUUUCUUGUGAUCGCUUCUUAAGUGUGCAAAUUGGAAAUUCUCGAUCUCAAGUUGUUGAUUUUUUGUGGUGGUCUUGAGUUUGACCCUAGUUUUGAGAUUGGUAUUCCUUCUUCGAUGAUAUGAUAUAGGGUGGAUUUGGGGAAACCCUAUUUUAGAGUUUUUAGGCCUAAUAAAGCUUAGUGAAAUGUUUCUUCUUGAUGAUAUAUAUUUGUGUCUAUUCCUUGUGGAGAUGGAGUGUUAGAUUGGUUAGUCAUCGGCUAAAGUUGUAUUUCUAUGAGUUGCUAGAGCUUUUUCCUUUUCUCGUGUGGUUUUAACCUUGGGAUAUUUUUGAGUAUGUUAGGAAAGUUCAUGCCCUUCAGAGAUUAUGGACUGAGUUAUUUAUAUUUCUGACAGUGACUCAUCUUUUGGCAGGAUUCUUAUUUUGUGGUUAUAUUUUGUACCCUGUAGCUGAGAUAGAUUUGGUUGAUUGUAUUCUCAGUCAGUAUUUAUCCUUUUGGUGGUUUUUUCUCUUCAGAUAUGUCUCGACUGUGGAUUCGUAUGAUUUAUCUCAGAAAUGUCAUAUUUGGAUGCAAGAGUCGAGUUGGGAUAAUUGACAUUGGUAUAGCCUUAUCAACUUAGUUUUUGAUUUGAUGCCUUGGAAGUAUGAUAGAUUGAAAGUAUUAAUUCCUACUCGUCUUUAGGUUUGGUUUGGGUAGUUGAGAUCGAGCGAUUUAUCCUUGGUAUUGAGAUUUCAGCUUAGUAUAUUGAGCUUGCAUGCAGCUUUUGUUUUAGACUUGCCUUUGUUCAGAUUUCAUUUAUAGGCUGGUUGAGCCUAAUCCAUAAUUGCCUAUUCAUUCUUCUAGACAUUAGUUGGAUUAUAGCUGAUAAGUGUUUAGAUGAUAGCCCACGGGCCCCAUAUUGGUUAUUUAAGAAUUGACCUCGAGUUGUAUUUUUCUUUGUGAAUUUUAGAUCGCUUACUCGAUGGGAGUAGUAUAGUCAAGUUAGAUUCAGUAUGACAUCAUUCUCUGUGGAUGAUAUAUCAUGGAGUGGAAUAUUUAGUAAUGAGUUGUUCUAUAUUAGAUUUCAAGAUUUUAGUCUAAUUUUCAUCAGUGUUGAUUGUCGUAUUGGCAUGGAUAGCAUUCCUCGAUUAUCUCCAUUUAUGUACCUAGACAGUGCCUUAUGAGUUAUUCCCUUAUUUUUCGUAUGGACAUUCAGUGGAUCACCUUUAGUUCAUUGAGUUCUCUGUGAUGAGACCACAUGGGCAAGACUCAACUGAUUUUCCUCCUGGCUUGGAGUAGAUAGUAUAUGCAAACUGGUAAAGAAAGGUUAUAUUUGGAUUUGGAUUUGGUGGCAUGACUCGUAACUUGGGUUAGCUUUGGCUCAAAUAAGACUUUGUUGAUUUAUGCAGAUAGAGAGAUGGUAUUAGUAUAAUGUGGUUCAGAUGUGCAUGCAUUAGUCUUCUGGUUCAGUUUGAGGCCUGUUAGCGGUUAAGUUAAAUUUUGGCUAUUUGGAGGUAGUAUGAAAGUGCUGAUUAAAAAAGGAAUACCUAUGGAAAAAUCUCUUAGAAGUAUUUUCUCUCAGCUGACGUUAUCUUUAAAUCAUGCUUGGAGCAUGCAGGCCCAGUAUCUCAUCCCUUCGAGCUUUUGAGAUUCUUUCUAUCUAUUGACGUUCGGGGUCAAAAGUCCUUUUACUAGUGGAUAAUGUAAUGACCCUUUAGGUCAUUUUCCAUAUUUAUGCUUAUCGUUAGCAUCUCCAUAACUUCCCUACAUUAUUUAUGACUUGUUGGGACUGAAGGUUUGGUUAUCGGGCUGUAUUUUUGGUUUUUAGAACCAAUUCAUUAUUUAGAAGUCUUCGCUGGUUCCAAAUGGCCACUGGUGAAAACUUAAGAGAAAUGAUCUCCAAUGCAAAUUUUGACUUUGCUAACACAUCUGAAAUAUCAAUUUUAGGAUAGGUAUACCUUUGCUUCUGGUCCCAAUGUACUCGAGGUCAUUUUGACCUAUGGAUUGGAAAGUUAAAAAUUUUAAAAUUUAGGUGUGGGACGCUCAUUUGGUUGAAUAACUUUGAAUUGAAAAUCUAACAUCGCCAACGUGUUUGAAAAGCUGAAUUUAGUAUUGUUACAUAUUUCGUUUGCGGAAAUUAGAUUAUAGGUGCAACCCGAGGCAUUGGCCAAAUCUUGGAAUCAAAUUCCAUGUUUUAGCUGUCAUGUACCCGUGAUGUAGGCCAAGACUUAACGCCUUAUGGACUUAUCUGCGGAUGUUAGGCAUAGUGGAGAUUAGUAAACCUUAGUAUAAUGUUACUUCAUAGCUUAAUGAAAGAUGAUGUACUUUCCCCGGAUAUGAUAUUUGGGUCAAUAGAGAUACUACUUCCUUCUUUAUAUGUUGUUUGACCGAUAGAGAUGUUAUUCCCUCUUAGACUUGAUAUUUGGCUUAUAGAGAUGAUAUUUCCUCUUAGACAUAAUAUUGGGUCCUUAGAGAUAUUGUUCCUCUAACAUAUGAUGUUGGGCCUACAAAGUGCUAUUUCUCUAACAUAUGAUGUUUGGCCUAUAGAGAUGCUAUUCCUCUUAGAUAUGAUGUGUGGCCUAUUGAGAUGUUAUUCCUCUUUGAUAUGAUUUUGGGCUUAUUGAGAUGCUAUUCCUCUUAGAUAUGAUGUUGGACCUAUUGAGGUGAAACUCCUCAUAAGUCAUGUUGUAUGACCUAUUGACAUGAGAUAUCUUAUAGAUGAAUACAAGCUUAUUGAUAUUAUGUAUCCUAGAUGUGAGAUGCCUCCUAUGUGAGAGAUGAUUACAAGCUUAUUGAUAUUAUACCUCCUAGAUGUGAGAUGCCUCCUAUAUAAGAGAUGAUUGCAUGUUUAUUGAUAUUAUUUCUUCUAUAUGUGAGAUUAGUAGAGAUAUACCACAACUUAUAAAUAUGAUUGUCAAUAUCAGUAUUAGAUAUAUAUAUGGGCCUAAGGUUGUGAUUAUGAUGUUGUGAUUAUUUUGGACAUAUUAUUUGGCCAAGGGCCAUGUUAUGAUAAUGAUUAGAUAUCCAACGAGUGUUUAUCCUUGUAAAGGGUAUAAUUUCAACUUAUGAAUAUGCACAUCUAUGUUUAUAUACACAUCUCUCUUGUAUGAGAGGGAGGAAUAUGCGGUAUGUUGCUUAUGACUUUAUUGAUUUGGAUAUUGCUGAUAGCAUGCAUAUAGUUGGUACAUUCAUGAUUAUUUUAUCGGUAAUUAAAGUGAUUAUAUCUGCAAUGUUAGCUUAUGAAUGUUCUUCCUACUUAAGGGUUAAGCUAUGCGGUAGCUAGUUGUCAAUUAGGUUACUAUCGCACUUAAUGGUUAGGAAUCUAUGUUCUAGUUAAUGAACCUUGUGUAGUUGAAAUAUGGUAGCUAGAGAUGGUUGAUACAUGGCUAAUAAUGAUGUCGGGUUUAGCAUAGGUGAAAAUUUGUUAUAUUGAUGACUAAGUCCGUUGAUGACUAAGUCCGUGAUGUCGAUUAGUUGUUAAAUGUGGAGUUAUGUAUUAAUGAGGCUAGAUAAUAAGCGACGUUGGUGAUAAAAGAUGACUAGUAAAUAAUGAUGAAUGGUUUAUAAGCUAGGAUUAGUAGCUAAAUGAUAGUUAAUUAAAGAAUGGUGUUAGUUAAAUAAAGAUGGUUAGAUGACAAAUGGUAAUGUGUUUAGUAGUAAUUAUUAACGGAUAUAGGAUAAUUAAUUGAUAAUGUUGAGUAGUGGUUGAAUAGCGAUUAUGUUCUAAGAUGAAUCUUUACUAAAUGUAGUGUAUUGGUUACUUAUUAUAUAAUGAUUAGUUGCUAUCACAUGAAUAAGGAUUAUGUGAAGGACAAUGUUUAGGUUAAUAAUUAGAGAUCAUGUGAAGACUAGUGAAUUAGUGGUUUAAUGAUCAUAAGCAUUGGUUAACUAAUAACAAAUAUUAGGAAGUAUUGACAAGUUAGAUAUUUUAUGAUGAUACGGUUGUGAUUAUGAGUAUAUUAAUAGGCUUGUAGAUUUACCUUCCUAUUGCCACAUCUUGACCCCGUGAACUUAUUAUAUGUCUAUAAAUAUAUAUGUAUUUAUUUUUAUGAUUAUAUUGAUACCCGGAAAGGCCGGAGGAAUUCUGAUGAUAAUAUUGAUACCCCAUAAGGCCGGAGGAUAUUAUGACGAUGAUAUUGACACCCGACAAGGCCUAAGGAUAUUGUUAUGAUGAUAUUGAUACCCAAAAAGGUAGAAGGAUAUUCUGAUGAUGAUAUUGAUACCCGAAAAAGCUGAAAUAUAUUGUGAUAAUGAUAAUGAUACGGCAAGGCUAGAGGAUAUCGUAAUUAUGAUAUUAAUAUUCGGCAAUGUCGUAGGAGAUUGUGAUGAUGAUAGUGAUACCUGACAAGGUCGGAGCAUCUGUGAUGAUGAUAUUAAUACCCAAAAAGGCAGGAAGAUAUUGUUAUGAUAAUAUUGAUACCUGUCUAGGCCAGAGAAUAUUGUGAUGAUGAUAUUGAUACCCGGCAAGGAUGGAGGAUAUCGUGAUAAUGAUAUUGAUACCCAACAAGGUCGGAGGAUACAAUAAUAUUGUAUUGCUAUUCGGAAAGGCCGGAGGUUGAUUACACUUAUGAUUGUCAUGAUGAUAAGAGUUAUAAUGGAGAUGUUUAUAAUGAUGAGAUUAUUAUAUUGAUUGUGUACUUUGCAUUCAUUCCUCCAUUUGCAUCGCUUAUCACCAGUAUGCACCUAUAUCUAUCAUCCGAUAUUGAAUAAUUACAUAUAUAUGGGUAAAGAGUAUGGAUUGAGUUAUUGUAUGUUGAUUGAACUUUCCGAGUUUGGGUAGUGGGGAUAUGCAUAGUCUCGGAUAUGUACUUGAUUGUUCUGAUUAGUCGAUGAUUUAUGUUGUUACUAAUAUUAUUAUUAUCAUUGUUAUGAUUACUAUUAAG
rnacentral:lncRNA from 1 species